rnacentral:rRNA from 1 species
UUCGGUUAUACGAGAAGAGUUUGCGCGCAAGCGUGAGCGUGAUGAGAGGGUCCUGCGGCCCAUCAGCUAGUUGGUAGGGUAGUGGCCUACCAAGGCAACGACGGGUAGGGGGUCUGAGAGGACGAUCCCCCACACUGGAACUGAAACACGGUCCAGACGCCUACGGGUGGCAGCAGGGAGGAAUAUUGGGCAAUGGACGAAAGUCUGACCCAGCAACGCCGCGUGAAGGAUGAAGGCCUUCGGGUUGUAAACUUCUUUUGAGGGAGAAGAGAAAGGACGGUAUCCCUCGAAUAAGCCACGGCUAACUACGUGCCAGCAGCCGCGGUAAAACGUAGGUGGCGAGCGUUAUCCGGAUUCAUUGGGCGUAAAGAGCUUGUAGGUGGCCGAAUAAGUUGGACGUGAAAACUCCGGGCUUAACUUGGAGAGGCCGUUCAAUACUGUUAGGCUAGAGGAUGUCAGAGGGAAGUAGAAUUCCUGGUGUAGCAGUGAAAUGCGUAGAUAUCAGGAGGAAUACCCGUGGCGAAGGCGGCUUCCUGGGACAUAACUGACACUGAGAAGCGAAAGCUAGGAGAGCAAACGGGAUUAGAAACCCCGGUAGUCCUAGCUGUAAACGAUGGAUGCUAGGUGUAAUCAGAACUAACCCUGGUUGUGCCGAAGCUAACGCGUUAAGCAUCCCGCCUGGGAACUACGAGCGCAAGCUUAAAACUCAAAGGAAUUGACGG